rnacentral:rRNA from 1 species
UACGGAGGGAGCUAGCGUUGUUCGGAAUUACUGGGCGUAAAGCGCACGUAGGCGGCUUUGUAAGUUAGAGGUGAAAGCCCGGGGCUCAACUCCGGAACUGCCUUUAAGACUGCAUCGCUUGAAUCCGGGAGAGGUGAGUGGAAUUCCGAGUGUAGAGGUGAAAUUCGUAGAUAUUGGGAAGAACACCGGUGGCGAAGGCGGCUCACUGGCUCAUUUCUGACGCUCAGGCGCGACAGCGUGGGGAUCAAACAGG